CCCUUAGAUGUUCUGGGCCGCACGCGUGCUACACUGAGUGGAUCAGCGGGUCAGGUUGCGCGAAAGCGUUUCCUAAUCUUUAAAUCCGCUCGUGAUGGGGAUUGACGGUUGCAAUUUUCUGUCAUGAACGAGGAAUACCUUGUAAGCGCGGGUCAUCAUCCCGCGCUGAAUACGUCCCUGCCCUUUGUACACACCGCCCGUCGCACCUACCGAUUGAAUGACUCGGUGAAAAAUUGGGACCGUGAGUCUGUUUGCUUCAUUGCGAGUGGAUUGAUGGGAACUUUUUUAAACCUCGCCAUUUAGAGGAAGGUGAAGUCGUAACA
rnacentral:rRNA from 1 species